GAAACAGAGAGCUAUAGCCCAGUAAUUGUGUGAGGAGAAGAAAAAUGGAGAAUACUGAAAAGAAAGCUGCCUCCUGCAAACGAGUUCACUGUUUGGUCUUAUCUUAUCCAGCACAGGGCCAUAUAAACCCUCUGCUCCAGUUCGCCAAGCGCUUAGAACACAAAGGCCUCAAAGUCACACUAGCUACCACCUAUUUCAUAUCCAAAUCCUUACAUAGAGAUUCAUCAUCGCCGUCCACCUCCAUUGCUCUCGAGGCAAUCUCCGAUGGCUACGACGAAGGAGGGUCUGCACAAGCAGAGAGCGUUGAAGCUUACUUGGAGAGGUUUUGGCAAAUUGGCCCUCGAAGCCUUUGUGAACUUGUUGAGAAUAUGAAUGGCUCAGGUGUCCCUGUCGACUGCAUUGUGUACGAUUCAUUUUUGCCUUGGGCUCUCGAUGUUGCUAAGAAGUUUGGGCUGGUUGGAGCCGCAUUCCUCACUCAAUCUUGUGUUGUUGAUUGCAUAUAUUACCAUGUGAACAAGGGCUUGCUCAAGCUUCCACUUCCAGACAGUCAAUUAUUGUUGCCUGGAAUGCCUCCACUUGAGCCUCAAGACAUGCCUUCAUUCGUUUACGAUUUGGGGUCAUAUCCUGCUGUUUCUGAUAUGGUGGUAAAAUAUCAAUUUGAUAAUAUUGACAAAGCUGAUUGGGUUCUUUGCAACACAUUUUAUGAGCUGGAGAAAGAGGUAAUUAUAAGUUUUUCAAAAAUUUCACUUUGUCCUAGUUUACACGUAUGAGCCUGGAUUCAAAUUCCAAGCUUUUAAUUAUGUCACAAGAUUUUAAUUACCAAUUGAUCUAACGAAAAGUCUCGUAAAAUGCUUGUUGACAUCAAUUGACUUUCAAUCUAUUUUGUGCAGCUAGCUCAAUGGCUGGGUAAACAUUGGUCAUUGAAGACAAUUGGACCAACAAUACCAUCUAUGUACCUCGAUAAGCAAAUUGAAGAGGACAAAGACUAUGGUUUCAGCAUCUUUAAGCCAAAUAAUGAAUCUUGCAUCAAAUGGUUAAACGAUCGGGCAAACGGGUCUGUUGUUUAUGUAUCAUUUGGGAGUAUGGCAACACUAAAAAUAAAGGAAAUGGAAGAAUUGGCUUGGGGUCUGAAAGCAAGUGACAAGUAUUUCUUGUGGGUUGUAAGGGAAUCCGAACAAUCUAAGCUUCCGGAAAACUUUGCAGAAGAAACAUCCCAGAAAGGCUUGGUUGUGAAUUGGUGCCCGCAAUUAGAAGUUUUGGCACAUGAAGCAACAGGAUGCUUUUUGACACAUUGUGGCUGGAACUCUACAAUGGAGGCCCUGAGCUUGGGAGUGCCAAUGGUGGCAAUGCCACAAUGGACUGAUCAGAGCACUAAUUCCAAGUGCAUGAUGGAUGUCUGGAAAACGGGACUUAAAGUUCCAGCGGAUGACAAAGGAAUUGUCAGAAGAGAAGCAAUUGCACAUUGCAUUCGUGAAAUAUUAGAGGGUGAGAGAGGCAAAGAGAUAAGACAGAAUGCUGGUAAAUGGAGCAAUUUUGCCAAAGAAGCCGUGGCUAAAGGUGGAAGUUCGGACAAAAAUAUUGAUGACUUUGUUGCCAACUUGAUUUCCUCCAAAAGCUUUUAAUAUCUUUAAUUUUGUUGGAUUUUUGUAAUAUCUUUAAUUUGUAAUACUUUUUACCAAAGCAAGGACAAAAAUAAAAAUUAUAAUGCUAGCGGGUGCUUGUUUCUACUUGUACCAAAACAAUAUCGCAGGUUUAAUUUUCUGAUACAAUCAUGUCAGUAAUUUCUGAAAUUUUGUUAAUAAAAUACACGAAUUAUGGUAAAUAAUUUCAAUAAUUUAGGGCAUGUUUGGAAGUGUGAUGUUGUAUCUUGCUUGGAAGGGGAAAAAAAAAAUCCAUAUCUAUCAUGGGGCUUUGGUAUAACUAGAAUCAGUAGUUGUAUGGUAAAAAUUGAUGAAAUUUAUGAGGGUGGAUAUAUUUGAACCUAUCAAAAUACCCUUCAAACCCAUCUUUACUUGAAAAUAUUUAUUACCAAAAUAUCCAUUAAUGAAUUUACUAUUAAGGACAAAAUUAUGCAAUUAAAUGAAAUACUUUACUUUGUACACCAAUUUCUAAACUCUUUUUUAGUUUAUCAUCCACCUAGAAUUAUACGGACUUCUCUAAUUCUUUUUACGAACGUCUCUACAAACAAUUAAACUAUACAAUUAAAUAAAAUAAAUCUAAUUCUUAUAUUGAUAUUUCUACGUUAUUAGAACCUCCUAUAUUUGAUUUUCUAAUUGGGCGAAAGUCAACUUUUAUGCGUAAAGGAAUUCAAGUUACGUGGCUCAUUGCAAAACAAUGGCUUCAAACCUUCAACAACUAAAAAAUGGAUUUUGAUCCUAUGUAACUAAUCUAAGUUAUAAAUUUAAAUGGCCACUCGGCUUAUCUACUGCCCUUAUAAGCAUGAGGGCAACGAUUUAAGCCCCCACAAAAGCAUUGUGGGGACUAAAACAUUCAUAAGUCCUUCUCCCUUGCGCAAUGUGAGUGAAAAAGAGAUAUUUCUCGUCUGUGAGGGAUGUGAGGGUUAUUUGUCUCGGCAUGUACUCUAUAGAAUUUAAUGUAAUAAUGUAAGUCUCAAUUAUGUAUAUCUGAUUGUAAAUAUCAGUGUAAUGUCUGUUAUAAUAGCAGUUGUAAAUAUCUGUGUAAUGCAGUAAUCUGAUGUGUAAUCAGUAUUAAAAAAAGUUAUAGUUUUAAAUGACGACUUCAAUUAUCAUUUUAAUUUUUCUAUUUGUUAGAGAUAACUCUGAAAUUGAUGGCUAGAGACAUAAUCAUAGAGAGAGAAAUUUAUUUUUCAAAAUUUUUAUUUAUUUGAUUUGUUUAAAUAAAUUCAAUCCCAAAUGCUUACAUAUUUGUUUGGCUGAAAAGUUCCAAGACUUAAAUUUUGUUUGAUUGAUUUAGAUUAAACAUAAUUUUUAUAAUUUUAUUAAGUUAAAUAGAAAAAUCCAACCAGUUGAUAUCUCUAAGUUAAUGAUGUUUAAUGGAUGUAUGUAGUAAUUAUAUUAGGAUAGAAUUUGGUUGUUAAGGAUAUAUUUGGUGUUGUAAUAGGUGGUAAUGUAGAGUAAAAUUUUAACUUUCAAAUUUCAAUAAUGGGUUUAAAAAGUAUUUUAGUAAAUUCAGAUAGCCUCACCCAAUUUAUAAAUAUAAUUUAAUAGUUGUACUUAUUAUUAAAACUCUAUUCAGUUUUGUUGCAACAACUCCUUUGAUUUUGAAUAUGAAUAUUAAUCAAGUAUACAAGAUUUUUUGCUUCAAUAAAUUUGGCACAAUGUGAACUCCAUUGAGCUUCCCUGUCGUGAUAUAUUUUUCAUUCACUCCAUUGAUUUGGUACUGAACAAUUAACGGGGACAAUUAGUAAAAGCAAUAUGAGACAAAGGUCAAAGUAUUAGCAGUACUAUCAUCAUCUAAUUAUUUACUUUGGCCUGAUGCAAUCCUCUACAAAUACGCAAGUAAUGACUUCGAAUACAUAUAAUGCAAAGCUAUUUUAGGAUUGUAAUUUUUUACUUGUGUGGCCUAUAUAUCCAUGCUUCUUACUAAAUAGAUUAAACAUAGGUGUAUUUGUAGAUCUGCUGGCAUUGCAUGUGAAAAAACAAUAGUGUGUCCAAUUUAAUAGUAUAACAUGCAUAGUUUAAUUGUCAAGAAGCAUAUGUUGAAAGAGUUCUUGAAAAAUUUAACAUGGACAAGACAAAAUCUAUUUGUUUUUCACUUGCAGGCCAUUUCAAGCUUAGUUCUGACUUCUGGGCAUUGUUCUACAAGUGAGAAAGAAAAGUAAGAGAUGAGAGGGGUUCCUUAUGCUUCGGCAGUUGGUAGUUUGAUGUACGCCAUGAUUUGUACAAGUCUAUAUAUUGCUCAUACAGUUGGUGUAGUCAGCAGAUUUCUCUCCAAUCUGGGCAAAGAACACUAGACAGCAGUGAAGUGGAUUCUCAGAUAUCUUAGAGGCACUUCUACGACAUGUUUAUAUUUUGGCGGUGACAAACUUAUGUUACAAGUGUACACGGAUGUAGAUAUAUCGGGAGAUGUUAAUUCCAAAAAAUACUUAUCAGGAUAUUUGCUCACCUUUGCAGGGGGAGCAGUCUCAUGGCAAUCCAGACUUCGGCAGUGUAUUACCUUAUCUACCAUUAAAACAGAGUAUAUUGCAAUUACUGAAGGUUGCAAAGAAACCUUGUGGAUAAAGAAUUUCCUACAAGAGUUGGAUGUGAAGCAAGACAACUUUAUUGUGUAUUGCGUCAGUAAUGUCAUUCAUUUGGAAAAGAAUUUGACAUACCAUUCAAAAUCUAAGGAUAUUAAUGUGAGGUAUCAUUGGAUACAAGACUUACUUUAGAAGAAACAGUUGCAAGUAGAGAAGAUACACACAACGAAGAAUAGGUCAGAUGUGAUGAUAAAGUCAUUGUCUAAGGAGAAGCUGAAAAGUUGUAUGUAGAAAGCAGGCUUGGUGGUGCCCCCCACAUGAUCUGGAGGGGGAGAUUUGUUGGGUCUAUCUCAUUUGGGGCCCAAAACCCCAAAGUCCAAAUAAGUUUGCUUGAUUUGUAAUUAUUACUAAGAUUUAGAUUUGAAUGAAAUUUGUCAUGUAAUUUAGCUAUAAAAGCAAGCAGCAGCCCUACUUAGGGAAAAGGAAAAUGAGAUUCUUACAACAGUUAGUACCACAGUUAGCACAAAAUAGUGCGCUUUGUGCUAACUAUAAAAAAGGUUACUGUGGCUUGCACGCGCACACACAGCUCCCACACUCUCUCUGAUUCUUGGCCUCUCUUCCCCACAGCAAACGAGAAAAACUCACACGACAGCCACACCAAAACGCAGUCGUUUCUCACGCAUCCUCACUCUACUCUUUGCUCUCUCUGUCAACUUUCUCCCUCUCUCUCGCCUUGGGUGUCUUCACGCCUGUUCGUUGGAUCUGUCUCUCUGUCUCUACUCAUCGAUUGCAUCCAUCACGACUUCAUCUCGUCGAUUGCAGUUGCAGCCUGACCAAAAGGAGAAUAAAUAUUUGGGCCAGUCCCACAUGAGCUGAAGACGAAAUCUUAGUUUGGUGUCCUUGCUUUUGCAGAGCAUUCUGCCUGAUUUUCAUGAUGGAUUUUGAUCUCUAAGCUUUUGGUUCUUAUUAUUGUGUUGAUUGAUACACACAAAAUUUCACAAUAUUUACUACUAAAUCAUUUGGUUUCUUGAGGCAAAUAAAAGUCAUCAUCUUCACUCUUGAAAACAAAGAUUUUCCUUAUAUUUUCUUUGUUACAAUAUAAUUCUUGACCUAUUGCUCUGUGCAAUUAUCUUAUCAACCACCAUUGCAAUUAGUAAUAGCUUUAGGUUAUUGAUGGAAUGUUUACGGACCCUUAAUCUUCUUUGAGCAAAGUAAUGCCUGAACUAUAACAAAGUACUGAUGAAAGUAUGACCAUUAAUAUUUUUAUAUAAAAAAAUGUUCAUCUCAGCCAAAAUCACAAUAACAAAAUAACUCCAGGAGACGAGUAUGGCAUUACAGAAGAAGGAUCGGAAGAACAAAUCUGUAAUUCUUUGUUCCUGAAAGUCUUUAAUAUUUAUUUUAUUAGCUUUUUCCCAAGUAGAGAUUACAUCACUAAAGAACUCCAUUGAACAAUUUCCAAGUUUGGCUUUUAAGAUUUCUGCUUAUAAAACUUAUGAAAAAAAAAAUCACGCAGAUUGGCUAUUGUCUGGUAGGAUUUGGGGGGUAGAGAGAGAGUCAAGCCACAAGUCAAUUUCUAAGAGAGACUAGAGAGUAAGGUGUCGUAAAGGAGUGAGACGCAUUCGACGGGGAAGAGAGACAGCCAACACGACGACUCUACAAAGGCAGCUAUGGAGAGACCCACGGCGGCUGUGGAUUUUGGGGAAGAGAGAGUGAAGUCGCAAGUCAAUGAAGAAAGAGAGAGAGAGAGACCCGACGGUGAGAAUGGAGCGUGGUGAGGGAGAAUCAGCUGGUGGUGAGAUUUGUGGAUUGAGUGAGAUGAGAUUUGUGGUGCUGUGAGUGAGGUGAGAUUUGGAACGUGGGCUUACAGAGCGUGUGUUGUGGGAGAUGCGUGUGUGUUGUGUGGGUUGCUCACCACCGUGAGAAUUUAUAAUGAGCACAAAACGCACCGUUUUGUGAUAACUGUGGUGCUAAAUGUUGUAAGAAUAUCGGUAUUGUACGGAAAAAGACGAGCGAGAGAGAGGAAAGUGGCAGCUCUUGUUUUAGGGAUAAGAUUUUUAAUUUUUAAUUGGGCAAUCAGAGGGUGAAAUUAAUUUUUUUUCUUAAAUUUUGAGGGUAAAUUUUUGGUAUUGUCCUCUACAAUUUUAUUGGUCUAAAUUUUUAUUUUAUCAUCUCUUUGGUUAUUUUUUAAGAUACCCACUUGUUAGAGAAAUAAUUAUUAAGCUGUUACUGUAAGUCAAUAAUAGUGAGAUUCUUGAUGUUGGUAGGCUCUAUUAUUAUCUAGAGAAUAAUUUAUGCAGUAAUCUCAUUAAUAUAGGGGAAUAUUAUUUUUUUUUGUUUUAACCACGAGCUAUCCUGGGAAGGGUCCCAACUAUGGGAGGCACCUUUAAGCCCGUACCACAACCCAGAUUAGAAGUCUCCGCUUGAACCGGGAGGCAGGUUCUCCUAACAAAGGCGACUUCCCUGCGACUCGAACUGAGGAGCAAACCCAGUCAAGCCACUUAAGGGGACUUUAUUGAAAUACAAGUAUGCAACCCAAGAGGGGGGGUGAAUUGGGAUUCUAAAAAAUUAUUCAAUUUAUUAAAGAAAAUCUUAAUGCAAUUAUAAAUCAAAUUCAAAGCAAUAACAAUUAAGAUGAUCACAAUAUAAAAAGAUAAGGGAAGAGGGAUUCAAACACCGAGAUUUUUACGUGGUUCGGCCAACCUCGCCUACGUCCACGCCUCCAAGCUUUCCGGGCUUGAGGAUUCCACUAAGCAAGCCUCCAAGGCUUCAAAUGCUUACACUUGACUUCCAAGGCGUCAAUGGACCUUUACAACAAGAGAUUAUCCCCAAUCUCUUAACCCAAGUGUAUCCCAACACUUACAAUCACUCAAAGUAAAAGAUUACAAACUGUUUUGCCUCUCACAAUAUAUAAGAUUACACAAUGAUGCUUAAUAUGUGAAUAGAUGAAGCAAGAAUGUGUUCUAAGCUCUAUGAAGAUUGUAUUCUCGAAUAUUAGCUCAAAUGGUCUUGUUGUGAUCAAUCUUUGUUUGAAUUUGAAUGAGCUUAUUUAUAGCUGCUGCUGAAAACUAGCCGUUAUUGACUUUCUGCACACUAUCAGAUCGCCGUUAGCUAGAUGUCGGAUCGCUGUUUUGACUGGUCAAUAUGACCGUUGGGCUGAUUUUUCAAAUUGUCGGAUCGCCGUUAUCUAGAUGUCGGAUCGCCGUUUAGGUCCAGAGGCUACUGGUUGAUAUCGGCGAGCCAUUUAUCACACAUGUCGGUUCGCCGUUUUGGUCCAGAGGCUACUGGUUGAUAUCGGCGAGCCGUUUAUCACACAUGUUGGUUUGCCGUUUUCGUCCAGAGGCUAAUCUCCAUUUCUUCUUGAAAUCGGCGAGCCGUUUACUACACAUGUCGGAUCGCCGUUUUCCACAAAAACUGCUGCAGUGAAUUAUUUUGCAAGAUGACUGUUUUGUCUCCAAAUCUUUAUAAAAAUACUUUAUGAAACUUGUCAAAAUAGAUGAAAAUUAUGUUGAGCUUUUAAAACGAUUAAUCAAUCUUAAUCAUGUUUGUUAUCAUCAAAAUCAAUAAAGAAUAAUUUAUGUUAACAUUCAUUGCCAAUGGAGCCAACACUUUAUUGGUUUAUAGUGGAAGAUUAUAUCGGACUACGGUCUCUUCUUUGAAUUUUCCACGUAAAACCUAUAUCUCUUGUGGUUGGUGUUUGCUUUGAAUUCAUUGGUUUAUUUUUUUGCCUAUUUAUUUAUGGUGCACAUCAUAUUUUAAUCAUACAAAAAGAGAAAAAAAUUUAUUUCCGCUUAAUUUACAACUGCUUGGUAGUCUUUUUCCCAACAAUUGAUAAAAAAAAUUACUUGUUUUAAUGGGCACCAGCCAUAAAUUCCGUCGUGAAUAUAAACACUGCACUUCCUAUAGAUCAAUCAAUUGUAUAAGCAACUAGAACACAGAGAGGGAGAGCUAUAUCUCAAGUAAUUGUGUGAGGAGAAGAAAAAUGGAGAAUAUUGAAAAGAAAGCUGCCUCCUGCAGACUAGUUCACUGUUUGGUCUUGUCUUAUCCAGCACAAGGCCAUAUAAACCCUCUGCUCCAGUUCGCCAAGCGCCUAGAUCACAAAGGCCUCAAAGUCACUCUAGUUACCACUUAUUUCAUAUCCAAAUCUUUACAUAGAGAUUCGUCAUCCUCGUCCGCCUCCAUUGCUCUCGAGGCAAUCUCCGAUGGCUACGACCAAGGAGGAUCUGCACAAGCAGAGAGUAUUGAAGCUUACUUGGAGAAGUUUUGGCAAAUUGGCCCUCGAAGCCUUUGUGAGCUUGUUGAGAAGAUGAAUGGCUCAGUUGUUCCCGUCGAUUGCAUUGUGUACGAUUCAUUUUUGCCUUGGGCUCUCGAUGUUGCUAAGAAGUUUGGGCUGGUUGGAGCUGCAUUCCUCACUCAAUCUUGUGCUGUUGAUUGCAUAUAUUACCAUGUGAACAAGGGCUUGCUCAAGCUUCCACUUCCAGACAGUCAAUUGUUGUUGCCUGGAAUGCCUCCACUUGAGCCUCAAGACAUGCCUUCAUUCGUUUACGAUUUGGGUUCAUAUCCUGCUGUUUCUGAUAUGGUGGUAAAAUAUCAAUUUGAUAAUAUUGACAAAGCUGAUUGGGUUCUUUGCAACACAUUUUAUGAGCUGGAGGAAGAGGUGAUUAUAAGUUUUUGAAAAAUUUUCCUUCAUCCUAGUUUAUAUCUAUGAGCCUGGAUUCAAAUUCCAAACAUCCUAAUUAUGGCACAAGAUUUUAAUUACCAAUUGAAUUAACAAAUAGUCUCGUAAGAUGCUUUUUGACAUUAAUUGACUUUUAAUCUAUUUUGUGCAGGUAGCUGAAUGGCUGGGGAAACUCUGGUCACUCAAGACAAUUGGACCAACCGUACCGUCCUUGUACUUGGAUAAGCAACUUGAAGAUGACAAAGACUAUGGUUUCAGCAUGUUUAAGCCAGAUAAUGAAUCUUGCAUAAAAUGGUUAAAUGAUCGGGCCAAAGGGUCAGUUGUUUAUGUAUCGUUUGGGAGUUAUGCACCACUAAAAGUAGAGGAAAUGGAAGAAUUGGCUUGGGGUCUGAAAGCAACUAACCAAUAUUUCUUGUGGGUUGUACGGGAGUCCGAACAAGCUAAGCUUCCGGAAAACUUUUCAGAUGAAACAUCCCAAAAAGGCUUGGUUGUGAAUUGGUGUCCACAAUUAGAAGUUUUGGCCCAUGAAGCAGCAGGAUGUUUUUUGACACAUUGUGGCUGGAACUCUACAAUGGAGGCUCUGAGCUUGGGAGUUCCAAUGGUGGCAAUGCCACAGUGGAGUGACCAAAGCACUAAUGGUAAAUACAUAAUGGAUGUUUGGAAAAUGGGACUUAAAGUUCCAGCAGAUGAGAAAGGAAUUGUCAGAAGAGAAGCAAUUGCACAUUGCAUUAGUGAGAUAUUGGAGGGUGAGAGAGGCAAAGAGAUAAGACAGAAUGCUGGUAAAUGGAGCAAUUUUGCCAAAGAAGCCGUGGCUAAAGGUGGAAGUUCGGACAAAAAUAUUGAUGACUUUGUUGCCAACUUGAUUUCCUCCAAAAGCUUUUAAUAUCUUUAAUUUUGUUGGAUUUUUGUAAUAUCUUUAAUUUGUAAUACUUUUUGCCAAAGCAAGGACAAAAAUAAAAAUUAUAAUGCUAGCGGGAGCUCGUUUCUACUUGUACCAAAACAAUAUCGCAGGUUUAAUUUUCUGAUACAAUCAUGUCGGUAAUUUUUUAUAUUUUAUUAAUAAAAUACACGAAUUAUUGUAAAUAAUUUCAAUAAUUUAGGGCAUGUUUGGAAGUGUGAUGUUGUAACUUGCUUGGAAGGGCAAAAAAAAAAAAAAAAAAAAAAAGCCCAUAUCUAUCAUGGGGAUUUGGCAGAAUAAAUAGUUGUAAGUUAAAAAUUGAUGAAGUUGGAGAUAUUUGAAUUCAUCAAAAUACUUUUCAAAUCCGUCUUUACUUGAAAAUAUUUAUUUGCUAAUAAAUAUCCAUUAAUGAAUUUACUAUUAAGGACAAAAUUAUGCAAUUAAAUGAAAUAUUUUAUUUUAUACACAAAUCUCUAAGCUCUUUUUUAGUAUAUCAUCCACCUAAAAUUAUACGGACUUCUCUAAUUCUUUUUACGAACGUAUCUACAAACAAUUAAACUAUACAAUUAAAUGAAACAAAUCUAAUUCUUAGAUUGAUAUUUCUAAGUUAUUAGAACCUCCUAUAUUUGAUUUUCUAAUUGGGCGAAAGUCAACUUUCAAGUGUAAGGGAAUUCAAGUUAUGUGGUUGAUUGCAAAACAAUGGCUUCAAACCUUCAACAGCUAAAAAGUGGAUUUUGAUCCCUAUGUAACCAACAGUUAUAGUUUUAAAUGACGGCUUCAAUUAUCAUUUUAAUUUUGCUAUUUGUUAGAGAUAACUCUGAAAAUGAUGGCUGGGGACAGAAUCAUAGAGAGAGAAAAUUAUUUUUCAAAAAUUUUAUUUGAUUUUUUUAAAUUAAUUCAAUCCCAUUUGCUUACUUAUUUGUUUGGCUGAAAAGUUCCAAGACUUCAAUUUUGUUUGAUUGAUUUAGAUUAAACGUUAUUUUCAUACUUUUAUUAAGUUAAAUUGAAAAAUCCAACCAGUUGAUAUCUCUAACUUAAUGAUGUUUAAUGGAUGUAUGUAGUAAUUAUAUUACGAUAGAAUUUGGUUGUUAAGGGUAUAUUUGGUAUUGUAAUAGUUGGUAACGUAGAGUAAGAUUUUAAUUUUUAAAUUUUAAUAAUGGGUUUAAAAAGUAUUUAGUAAAUUCAGAUAGUCUAACCCAAUUUAUAAAUAUAAUUUAACAGUUGUAUUUAUUAUUAAAAUACAUAUUAAAUAAUAAGAAAAUCAGUUGUACUUAUCCGUUUAGUUUAAGCCAGCCACUUGCCAGCGAUCUUAAAUAAGACCUCAAUUAGAAUCGAUGUUACCAUAGUAUGUACUAUAUAAUUUAUCAAUAAUAGUAAUUAUGAUAUCGUUGGAUUGUUGUGACUUGGAGCUCCUCGUGCCUGCUCCGAUAUAUUAUGUUAUUCGUAGGCACUGUAUUUUUUAUUAUUUAUUCGUUUACCCGUGUAGGUAAUGGUUAGCUUUAAGAGCUCCCAGACAAAUUCCCUAUGAUGAUUGAUGAUGAUAUGAUGCAUGUUUCAAAAGAGAAGAAAGAGCAAAGUUAUAUACGACAGGAAUGUGACGUGAUUUGAUGUAUCAUAACUAUUUCUUGUUGUUCUCUAUGAGCAGAUGCAUCCAGUCACCGAGCAGAUGCAUCCAGUCACCAUCGCCUACGUAUGCAAUGACUUCAAAUAAUCUAUAAUGGAAGACAUAAAUAAGUAUAUUAUUAGUUUUUUUUUAUUACAUGAGACUAAUGUUUAAAUUAUAAUUCAUAUUAUAUGAGACUAUAACUGAUAUUUAUAAAUCAAAUUAUUAUUGGGACCAACUUACAUCAAUACUAAUAGAGCUCUGCCCAGACUUUAAUCCUCACAAAUAUUCGAGAGAUGUCUACUCCUCACUCUUAGGUAAGAAAAUAAACUACCUUCACUCAAUUUUUAAUUAAGAAAAGAAAUAGUCUCAUAAUACAUUUGUGGAGGUUCGAACUACUGCCCUCCAAGUUGGAGGACAACAACCCUGACCACUCGGCCCAAGGCCGAGUGGCUAAGUAUAUUAUUAGUUUAAUUUUUAUAUUUUGAGUUAUGUGUAUGUUUAAUUUUUAUAUUUUAAAAAAUAUUUCAAAACGCUUGUAUUAUUAAAUUAUUUUUUUAAUUAGACUAAUACUCAUAUUACAAUUCAUAUUUAAUGAGAUUAAUAUACUAAUAUUUACAAUCAAAUAAUUAUUGAGACUAAUUUACAAAUUUUAUAUAAUAAAGACUUAAUUUUAAUCAUUUUUAAUAUUCGAGGGGUAUCCAUUCACUCAUAUUUUGAAAGGAAGAGAAUUACCUUCACUCAAAUUAAUAAAAGAAAUUAAUCGUCACAACACAUUAUAGAGACUCGAACUCAUGACCACACAAUUGUAAAAUUUAGGUUCUAACCAUUAGUUUUUACUUUGUCUCAUGUGAUACUACUAAAUAAACUAAUUUUCUUCGUACUUAACCUCUAUAUCCGAGAUAAUACUAUUUUCACUGCAUUUCUUAUAGGGUGUGCUUGGUGUGUGGUAUUGCAUAACAUUAAGUGUGGGCCCAACAUUAAUUUAAAGCAAUCACAUGCUUGGGAGUAAUUGUGACUCAUUAGAAUUGGCAUUGGGGGGCGUGCUAAUGCCUUAGUUGCCGCAUUAGCUUGUCUUUUUUUUUUAACUUUUACUUUUACUUAAUAAUAAUAAAAUGAAUAAAUGUAUAAUUUUAAUUUAUAAUAUAAUAUAAUUUUUUAUUUUUAUAUUAUAAUUUAUUAAUAAAUUUAUAAUUUAAUAUGAUUAAUAAUAAAUACUUAAAUAGUAUAUAAAAUAUAAUAUAAUAUUACAUUAUUUAAUUAUUGUAAUAUAAUUAAUAUAUAAAAAUUAAUUAUUUUUAAAUAAUUUAAUAUAACAAAUAAUAAAUAUUUAAAUACGAAUGAAGUUCAAUAAUAUUAGUCUAAUAAUAACAUAAAUAAUAAUAUAAAAUAUUACAUAACUCUUUGGAUUAUUUAACACAAUUCAUUUUGCUAUUAAAUAUGUUAUAACAAUUUUGUAAUUAUUUUGUGGUGUAUAUGAACAGAUGUCCUAAGAUGAUUUUGAACUAAUCUUGUAGGUUUUAACUAUUUAUUUUUCUUUUUAUAUUAUUUCAAGAUUAUUUGAUUAAAUUAUUUGCUUUGAUAUUUAACAAGUUAUAUAUUUAGAAAAUACAUAAAAUAAAUGUUAUGCUUCCGAAAAUUAAAGAAUAUAACCUUCGAUUUUUAUGAAGAAUUAUGAUAUUUUUUAACAUUUAUACUAAAAAAUUAUUAAAUUUCUAAAAUUUAAGACCUUUAUAUUUAGUAUUUUUAAGUACAAAUAAAUAUUAUUUUAUAAAUAUAUAAUAGAAAUUGAUCACAAAAAAUUAAUACAUUACAUUACAACACCAAACAUAAUAUAAUUAAAAAUUAAUACAAUACAUUAUAGCACUAAACAUUAUACAGCAUUAUUAUAAUACAGUAUUAAUAUAAUACAUCUGCAUUAAAAUAAUUCAAUACAACAUAAUACAAUACAAUGUAUCAAACACACCCAUAAUAUUUCACUCAUCCCCGGUAUGCUUGGGUAGCCCGUUGUUAUAUCUAACAAUUUCUUAUUUAUAAUGACACGUGCCAUCCAUAUAUUGGUCAAUCUAUUUUUUUCCGCAAAACAGUUAGCCCCAUCGCCAUGUAUGGUUAAACUACUGUACUUAGUUGAUAUCUGCAUAAAAAUAGAGAACGGGGCUCGGCCUGGACUCUAUUCAUUUUUGUUGCAACAGCUCCUCUGAUUUUGAAUAUGAAUUUUAAUCAAGUAUGCCAAGAUUUUUUGCUUCCAUAAAUUUGCCACAAUGUGAACUCCAUUGUGCUUCCCUGUCAUGAUAUAUUUUUCAUUCACUCCAUUGAUUUGGGUACUAAACAAUUAACGGGACAAUUAGUAAAAGCAAUACGAGACAAAGGUCAAAGUAUUAGCACUAUCAUCACCUAAUUAUUUACUUUUGGCCUGAUGCAGUCCUCUAUAAAUACGUAAGCAAUGACUUCGAAUAUAUAUAUUGCAAAUCUAUUUUAGGAUUGUAAUUUUUGACCUGUGUGGCCUAUAUAUCCAUGCUUCUUACUAAAUAGAUUACCAAGAAACAUAGGUGCAUUUGUAGAUCUGCUGGCAUUGCAUGUGAAAAAACAAUAGUUUGUCUAAUUUGGUAGUAGGGUUAAUUUCGGUCUACCCCCUUGUUAAGUAACAAUCUUCAAAUCGCCCUUUUACUAUUAAAAAUAUCAAGUUGCUCCCCAAAACUCAUCAUCUCUCUGUUAUUUUUAACAACUAAAAUGAUAAAAUAGUUUCUGCACAUUUUUCUAACAAUCAAUUAAUAAAAAAAAAGUCAAAUUUAGGUAGAUUAAUUUUCAUGAGUCCAAAUCCUUAUUAGUUUUUCAAAACACACAUAAAUAUUUUCAAUAUUUAUAAUAUGCUCCCUAAUACUUUAAAAUAUUUUUUAUUUUGUGCCUAUAUGACUAAUUUUUUUAAUGGAUUAAAUUUUAUCUUGUCAUAUUUAAAAAAUUUAUUUUAAAAAAUAAAUAUAGAAAUUAAUUAAAAGCUACAAAUGGAAACUCUUUUUUCAUUUGGUAAAGGUACUUAAAGAAAACAUAGAUAUAUAAAAAAAAAAUCAAAGAACCAAAGAAAAAUGCUACUAGAGUUUCACCAAACAAAUGAAAGGAGUAAGGAUGAGAAAAAUGAAAAGAAAGAAAAAAAAAUGCUACUGGAGUCAUGUACAUGAAAAAACAAUGAUGAAAAAGAUGAAGAAGAAGUAAGGAUGAGAAAAAAAAAACAAAUGAAAGGAAAAAAGGAAGGAGUAAGGAUGAGGAAAAUGAAAGGAAAGAAAAAAAAAAGUUACUGAAGUCAUGUACAUGAACAAAAAGAAAAAAGCAAAAAAAAAAAAAGAUGAAGAAUGAGUAAAGAUGAGGAAAAAAACAAAUGAAAAGAAAAGACGAAAGAGUGAAGAUGAGAAAAAAAUGAAAGAAAAGAUAAAGAAAAAUGAAAGAAAAUGAAAAAUGAAAGAAAAAGAUGAAAAUGAGAUUAUCCUAAUUUAUAUAUGAUGACAUGUCUAGUAAUUUAUUUAACUAACAUGUUUUAUUUAGGAAAUCUAUCAAUUUAUUUAGGCUCAUUAAGUCAUUUCAACACUUUAUUUUUUAAUUUAUUUUUCAAUGACUAGUUAUAUAUCAACAAUUUUUUUUUAUUUUCUAAUAAUUAGUCACACAUCAACCAUUUUUUUUAGUUUCACAAUGUUGUUACAAGAAUAUUCUGUUAAGGUAUGGUAUUUUCGUAUUUUUCUGAGUCAACGAUGGUCAAUAGUUAAAGAUAACGAGUUUUAGGGGGGUAACUUAAUAUUUUCAAUAAUAAAUAGGUGAUUUUAAGAUUAUCACUUCACGAGGGGGUUGGCCGAAAUUAUUUACUUUUGGCCUGAUGCAUUCCUCUACAAAUGCGUAAGCAAUGACUUCGAAUACAUAUAAUGUAAAUCUAUUUUAGGAAUGUAAUUUUUUACCUGUGUGGCCUAUAUAUCCGUGCAUCUUACUAAAUAGAUUACCAAGAAACAUAGGUGCAUUUGUAGAUCUGCAGGCAUUGCAUGUGAAAAAACAAUAAUUUGUCUAAUUUAAUAGUAUAACAUGCAUAGUUUAAUUCUUCUGGAUUCCAUGAUGUUAGAGAUGGGAUUUGAAUGGCUAUGUUUUUUUCACUCUUUUUCAUAAAAGUCGAGUGAAAUUGAUGGGUACUUUUUUUUUUUUAUUAAACUAUUUGGUAUCUAAAGAUUACGCUGGGCUUGAUUAAUUUAGAUUUAAACUUAAGAAAAUCACUAAAACGAUAAAAUUUUCCUAACAAAUAUUUUAACGCAGUUACAUUCUCUAAGUUUUAAAUUGAGAAUUUUAAUUAAGAUAAAACAAUUGGUAGUUUGAUGGUGGGGUACUUGUUUGACAAAGGAUCUAGCCACUAACGUCAUCACCAUCGUGUAUAAACUGUGCACUUUCCGAACAAUCAAUAUACAUACAACAAGAACAGAAAGAGAGAACAAUGGAGAACAAUGGAAAGAAACCUACCUCCUGCAAAUUAGCUCACUGUUUGGUCUUAACAUAUCCAGGACAAGGCCAUAUAAAUCCCCUGCUCCAAUUCUCCAGGCGCUUACAACACAAGGGAAUCAAAGUCACUCUGGUUACUACUCGUUUCUUCUACAAAUCCUUACAUAGAGAUUCAUCAUCCUCCUCCAUUCCUCUCGAGGCAAUCUCCGAUGGCUAUGACGAAGGAGGUUAUGCUCAAGCAGAAAGUAUUGAAGCUUACUUGGAGAGAUUUUGGCAAAUCGGCCCGCAAACUCUUACCGAGCUUGUUGAGAAGAUGAAUGGCUCGGAUUCUCCCGUUGACUGCAUUGUAUAUGAUUCAAUUUUGCUUUGGGCUCUUGAUGUUGCCAAGAAGUUUGGCUUGCUUGGAGCUCCUUUUCUCACUCAAUCUUGUGCCGUUGAUUACAUAUAUUACCAUGUGAAAAAGGGCUCCCUCGAACUUCCACUUACAGGCAAUGAAAUUUUGCUGCCCGGAAUGCCCCCACUUGAGCCUCAAGACAUGCCUUCAUUCAUU
rnacentral:lncRNA from 1 species